rnacentral:rRNA from 1 species
GAUGAACGCUGGCGGCGUGCCUAAUACAUGCAAGUCGAGCGAACAGACGAGGAGCUUGCUCCUCUGACGUUAGCGGCGGACGGGUGAGUAACACGUGGAUAACCUACCUAUAAGACUGGGAUAACUUCGGGAAACCGGAGCUAAUACCGGAUAAUAUAUUGAACCGCAUGGUUCAAUAGUGAAAGACGGUUUUGCUGUCACUUAUAGCUGGAUCCGCGCCGCAUUAGCUAGUUGGUAAGGUAACGGCUUAUCAAGGCGACGAUGCGUAGCCGACCUGAGAGGGGGAUCGGCCACACUGGAACUGAGACACGGUCCAGACUCCUACGGGAGGCAGCAGUAGGGAAUCUUCCGCAAUGGGCGAAAGCCUGACGGAGCAACGCCGCGUGAGUGAUGAAGGUCUUCGGAUCGUAAAACUCUGUUAUUAGGGAAGAAUAAAUGUGUAAGUAACUAUGCACGUCUUGACGGUACCUAAUCAGAAAGCCACGGCUAACUACGUG